CCCUGGCCGACAUCUAGUGGCAGCCGACCGAGCAAGGGGAUCGGAAAUGUGCCAGAGCCGUCACCGACUAUCCCUCAAUGCACAGGUCGAUCUCCUACCAUCAUAGCUUAUCUCCAUCCUGAUGCCCACUGUCACAGAGUCCACGUCCAUCAUUGGAGCCGAUCUUCAUCUCGACGCUCCGCGCGCUACAAGAUCUUGGAAGGAAGCCAUGUCAGAUCAACCAUGGAUCCGAAUCUCCACCAAAAUUGACGCACGAAAACGACCAUUGGUUGUGUCUCUGUAAACUAGUGUAGUUGGUUGAGUUGUGUGAUUGGAGAUUUGGAGAUCCGGAAUUUGAUUUUAGUCACAUCUCACAUAUGGAC
rnacentral:lncRNA from 1 species